rnacentral:lncRNA from 1 species
GUCGUCGACCAGUUGAAUAUAUAUAUAUAGCGUAUAUUGGCGAGUGUGAAUACCGUCCGGUCAACUUUUUUUGCUCAAAAAUAAUUAUUUUCCCUCUUUUUUUUUAUUUUCAUAAAAUAUAGUUUAAUAUCUUUCAGGUUUACAAAUAUUAAACAAAUCUAUCGGAUAACAAAAAAGUUAUGACUAUUUAUAUGUCGUCCGGUCAACCGUCCUGUCACUAUCCGGGCAAUCGUCCUGUCAUUAGUGCUUCCCC